rnacentral:tRNA from 1 species
GCAGUCGUGGCCGAGUGGUUAAGGCGUUGGUCUAGAAAUCCAUUGGAUUCGAAUCCUGUCAAUUGCG